rnacentral:rRNA from 1 species
AUGCAUAGGAAUCUACCUAGUAGUAUAGGAUAGCCACUAGAAAUGGUGGGUAAUACUGUAUAAUCCCUGCGGGGGAAAGAUUUAUCGCUACAUGAUGAGCCUAUGUUAGAUUAGCUAGUUGGUGGGGUAAUGGCCUACCAAGGCAAUGAUCUAUAGCUGGUCUGAGAGGAUGAUCAGCCACACUGGAACUGAGACACGGUCCAGACUCCUACGGGAGGCAGCAGUGGGGAAUAUUGGACAAUGGGCGCAAGCCUGAUCCAGCUAUGCCGCGUGAGUGAGGAAGGCCUUAGGGUUGUAAAACUCUUUCAGUAGGGAAGAUAAUGACGGUACC